rnacentral:sRNA from 1 species
UUGAAACUUUUGUUGCUUUGCGGGCACAU